rnacentral:lncRNA from 1 species
AUGAAUACAUAGGGUUAUUUAUGGACAUUGAAAUACCAUUUCUUCGCAUGGGGCUAUGCUUUCUCGAUGACUGCACGCAGAGUGACUUACAAUCGCUAGUGGACACAUUGAAGCCUUCUUCAGUGGAGAUUCGAGUGGAAAACUGCGUCACUGCAGAACCCGAACCAUGGAGUACGAGGCAAAUAGCAAUUGUAGCCUUCCUGACUAUUCUAGUGACUGUAAUAGCCGGGGCCACUGCU